AUUUUUCGUGAAUGUGUUCCCUGUCAGGGAAGGGUCUUAUUGUUGUGGAAGCCCUCAGGUACCUUUUAUCCUUCCCUGUGCUGGGCAGUCCAUUGUGAGCAGAGUAUGUGCCAGGAGCAGGUGUGUUUCCCUGGAAGGGCAAUGGCUGUUAGGCCAAGGGGCCCCAGUUCCCUGAGGGUGUAUCAGGGAUUCACAGAGGACAUCCUUAAGCUGUGUCGGCUGGGACGGCACGAAGAGCAGAAUUGCAGGGCCCAAGACCAGGGAGUUGGCAGAUUGGCAGCCUUUGUCCUGCAGGCCCCUUGACUCUGAAGGUAUCCGUACACCAACGCAUCCUGUUUGAUGGCUGACACACCAGACCAAGGUGUACCAAUUGAAUGGUAGAUGCAAGAAUGAGGGCAGCACUUCUGGAGGCCUUGCCUCUUUCCCCAGUAUGGCUAUUGCUCUUCCUCAUGCUUGUGUGUGUUUUCUCACCCCAAGCCAGUGGCCUUGAGUGGCCCAGGAUGGAAGACUGUUCGCAACAGAGAACCUGUCGCAUAUUCCAUAACAACUGUCCUGGCAAGACAAGGCAUGUGAGCCCCCAGGGACUUCUGGGCAAUUGGCCCUUCGAUGUACAGGUGGAUCACCCAUGGCGACUGGAAGUGAUGUUAGAGAGAAGGGAUAUUUUGCUGCUUGGAAUUCCACUGCCACCCCCAAAGAAGUGCUGUUUUCGUCACUUGUAUGAGCUCCUUUCUCUGGGAAAAUUCACAGCAUUGCUUUCUAGAGACUGA
rnacentral:lncRNA from 1 species